UACAGAGGUCUCAAGCGUUGUUCGGAUUCAUUGGGCGUAAAGGGUGCGUAGGCGGCGCGGUAAGUCGGGUGUGAAAUCUCGGAGCUUAACUCCGAAACUGCAUUCGAUACUGCCGUGCUUGAGGACUGGAGAGGAGACUGGAAUUUACGGUGUAGCGGUGAAAUGCGUAGAUAUCGUAAGGAAGAACCAGUGGCGAAGGCGGGUCUCUGGACAGUUCCUGACGCUGAGGCACGAAGGUCAGGGGAGCAAACGGG
rnacentral:rRNA from 1 species